rnacentral:lncRNA from 1 species
CCGGCCGAAGAUGGCCAGGCUGAGGCAAACCGCUGCCACGGACGGUGGUGCCGCCGGCGGAGCACAGCGGCACAACUCCGAAAUUGGUCUGAAAGGAUUUUUAACAUUGAUUUUGAGUUUUUGAGAUAUUUUUAGAUACGUGAAGCGUGUUUUAAUCUCCGUAAGAAAAUUCAGGAAACCUAGGGACCGCUAGUAGGCGCAGU